UACGGUCAUAUUACGUUGAAACACUCGGUCCCCUCACAACCACCGAAGUUAAGCAACGAUGAGUCUGGCCAGUACCUAGAUGUGUGACCGCUUGGCUAAUACCAGGUUACUGUAAG